rnacentral:rRNA from 1 species
CGUGAGAUGUUGGGUUAAGUCCCGCAACGAGCGCAACCCUUACGGUUAGUUGAUACGCAAGAUCACUCUAGCCGGACUGCCGUUGACAAAACGGAGGAAGGUGGGGACGACGUCAAAUCAUCAUGCCCCUUAUGGCCUGGGCUACACACGUACUACAAUGGCAGUCAUACAGAGGGAAGCAAAGCCGCGAGGUGGAGCAAAUCCCUAAAAGCUGUCCCAGUUCAGAUUGCAGGCUGCAACCCGCCUGCA